ACCUGGUUAAAUAGAGGUUAAAUAAAGGUGUUCUCAAUGAGCCUACCUGGUUAAAUAAAAGAAAGAAAGAAAAGGUAUUUAUCUACGUUUUGGUUCUCUGUUGGUAUCCCUCUAUGGUCUGGUUCUCUGUAGGUAUCCCUCUAUGGUCUGGUUCUCUGUUGGUAUCCCUCUAUGGUCUGGUUCUCUGUUGGUAUCCCUCUAUGGUCUGGUUCUCUGUUGGUAUCGUUUUCUAUGGUCUGGUUCUCUGUAGGUAUCCCUCUAUGGUCUGGUUCUCUGUAGGUAUCCCUCUAUGGUCUGGUUCUCUGUUGGUAUCCCUCUAUGGUCUGGUUCUCUGUAGGUAUCCCUCUAUGGUCUGGUUCUCUGUUGGUAUCCCUCUAUGGUCUGGUUCUCUGUAGGUAUCCCUCUAUGGUCUGGUUCUCUGUUGGUAUCCCUCUAUGGUCUGGUUCUCUGUAGGUAUCCCUCUAUGGUCUGGUUCUCUGUUGGUAUCCCUCUAUGGUCUGGUUCUCUGUUGGUAUCCCUCUAUGGUCUGGUUCUCUGUAGGUAUCACUCUAUGGUCUGGUUCUCUGUUGGUAUCCCUCUAUGGUCUGGUUCUCUGUUGGUAUCCCUCUAUGGUCUGGUUCUCUGUAGGUAUCCCUCUAUGGUCUGGUUCUCUGUUGGUAUCCCUCUAUGGUCUGGUUCUCUGUUGGUAUCCCUCUAUGGUCUGGUUCUCUGUUGGUAUCCCUCUAUGGUCUGGUUCUCUGUAGGUAUCCCUCUAUGGUCUGGUUCUCUGUUGGUAUCCCUCUAUGGUCUGGUUCUCUGUUGGUAUCCCUCUAUGGUCUGGUUCUCUGUGGUAUCCCUCUAUGGUCUGGUUCUCUGUUGGUAUCCCUCUAUGGUCUGGUUCUCUGUUGGUAUCCCUCUAUGGUCUGGUUCUCUGUUGGUAUCCCUCUAUGGUCUGGUUCUCUGUAGGUAUCCCUCUAUGGUCUGGUUCUCUGUUGGUAUCCCUCUAUGGUCUGGUUCUCUGUUGGUAUCCCUCUAUGGUCUGGUUCUCUGUUGGUAUCCCUCUAUGGUCUGGUUCUCUGUUGGUAUCCCUCUAUGGUCUGGUUCUCUGUUGGUAUCCCUCUAUGGUCUGGUUCUCUGUAGGUAUCCCUCUAUGGUCUGGUUCUCUGUUGGUAUCCCUCUAUGGUCUGGUUCUCUGUUGGUAUCCCUCUAUGGUCUGGUUCUCUGUAGGUAUCCCUCUAUGGUCUGGUUCUCUGUUGGUAUCCCUCUAUGGUCUGGUUCUCUGUAGGUAUCCCUCUAUGGUCUGGUUCUCUGUUGGUAUCCCUCUAUGGUCUGGUUCUCUGUAGGUAUCCCUCUAUGGUCUGGUUCUCUGUAGGUAUCCCUCUAUGGUCUGGUUCUCUGUAGGUAUCCCUCUAUGGUCUGGUUCUCUGUAGGUAUCCCUCUAUGGUCUGGUUCUCUGUUGGUAUCCCUCUAUGGUCUGGUUCUCUGUAGGUAUCCCUCUAUGGUCUGGUUCUCUGUUGGUAUCCCUCUAUGGUCUGGUUCUCUGUAGGUAUCCCUCUAUGGUCUGGUUCUCUGUUGGUAUCCCUCUAUGGUCUGGUUCUCUGUAGGUAUCCCUCUAUGGUCUGGUUCUCUGUAGGUAUCCCUCUAUGGUCUGGUUCUCUGUAGGUAUCCCUCUAUGGUCUGGUUCUCUGUUGGUAUCCCUCUAUGGUCUGGUUCUCUGUUGGUAUCCCUCUAUGGUCUGGUUCUCUGUUGGUAUCCCUCUAUGGUCUGGUUCUCUGUUGGUAUCCCUCUAUGGUCUGGUUCUCUGUUGGUAUCCCUCUAUGGUCUGGUUCUCUGUAGGUAUCCCUCUAUGGUCUGGUUCUCUGUAGGUAUCCCUCUAUGGUCUGGUUCUCUGUAGGUAUCCCUCUAUGGUCUGGUUCUCUGUUGGUAUCCCUCUAUGGUCUGGUUCUCUGUAGGUAUCCCUCUAUGGUCUGGUUCUCUGUUGGUAUCCCUCUAUGGUCUGGUUCUCUGUAGGUAUCCCUCUAUGGUCUGGUUCUCUGUUGGUAUCCCUCUAUGGUCUGGUUCUCUGUAGGUAUCCCUCUAUGGUCUGGUUCUCUGUUGGUAUCCAUCUAUGGUCUGGUUCUCUGUUGGUAUCCCUCUAUGGUCUGGUUCUCUGUAGCUAUCUCUCUAGGUUCUGGUUCUCUGUAGGUAUCCCUCUAUGGUCUGGUUCUCUGUAGGUAUCCCUCUAUGGUCUGGUUCUCUGUAGCUAUCUCUAUAGGGUCUGCAUCUCUGUAGCUAUCUCUCUAGGGUCUGCUUCUCUGUAGCUAUCUCUCUAGGGUCUGCUUCUCUGUAGCUAUCUCUCUAGGGUCUGCUUCUCUGUAGCUAUCUCUCUAGGGUCUGGUUCUCUGUAGCUAUCUCUCUACGGUCUGGUUCUCUGUAGCUAUCUCUCUACGGUCUGGUUCUC